CGCCCGGUGAGUGUGUCAUUUCCCAAAUGAUUCCUCAGAUCCACACUCGCAUAUGUGUGUCUGCUCAUGUUUAUGAUUUACAGAAGACUGCGAUGCUAUCGGCUGCAGUACAAACAGCCACAGAAAUGUUGCCAGCAUGUGAGUGUGAGAAUACUUUGGGGUUCAGGACUAAUGGAUGUAAUUUGUUUGUUCAGGUGGCCAUGUGGAGCUGGAUGAAAAGCUGUUGGAUGCAGGACUCAGGGAGCUAAAGAAAGAGACCGGUCUGAAACUGACCCCUGAUGAGAUCUCCUCUCAGCUGCUCGGCUUGUGGGAGGUGUGUGUUUAUAGCACAGUGUUUAUGUGAGACCUGCAGCCAAAGUCCAGAGGGGCCACUGCAUGCUGAAUUUGACAGAUUGAGGCAGAUUUUUUGCAAACCACAAUUGUGUAACCUGGAACAGUCGGACGCUGCACACAUCUGUUGUCCAUCUCAGAGUUUUAAUCGUUAACAUUAAACUGUUGGCUCAAGAUGUAAAUCUAAUCAAGCUAAUCCAGAAGGUUUACUUUCUUUUUCACGAAACAAACAUAUAUCAGAUGAUAAAGGAAUGGUGCAUCCAUUUAUGUUGUCAUCAUGUCUUCAUCUCCAUGUUGUUCCAACUCUGUAUUAUUUUUAUUUUUUCCAUGAAUACAAAAGAUUUAGACAGAAUAUCCAGACUGCCCUUUUCCAUACCUGGAAAGUGAAUGGAAAAGGACAUUGAAAGGAUCAUAAAUGAUUUAUGGAAGUUUGGGUACAUGACAUAACAAGUCAAGUACAAGUCUUUUGAAGACACACACUAAAUGAAGGUGAGGAGCAAACUGAAACAUUAAACAUCCUGGUUUACCAAAAUCUUAAUCUCUGCUGUAACAUUCAAAUCAGUUGCGGUUGCAUUUAAUCAAACUUUUUGGCAGUAAAAAUUACCAUUCACUUUCACUGAAUUGAAAAGAGCAGUUUGGACAUUUUUCCUAUGGAAUAAAGUCAAAAAUACAAAGUUGGAAGUAAAUGACAUCAAAAUCUGAAAGCACACUACCGCUCAAAAGUUUGUAGUCAGUAAGAUUUUUUUAAAAUGUUUUAGAGAAAAUGUCUCUUAUGCUCAACUAGGCUGCAUUUAUUUGAUCACAAAUACAGUAAAAACAGAAAUAUUGUUAAAUAUUA